rnacentral:misc_RNA from 1 species
AAAAUGAAGCCGGGAAACCGGUCCUUCUAACCCUUGAUUAUCUUAAUUUGUUGCUUUGGUGGGCCGCGCAAGCACCGGCUUCGGCUGGAUCGUGCCCGCCAGAGGACCACAACUCUGUAUCAAAUGUCGUCUGAGUACUAUAUAAUAGUUAAAACUUUCAACAACGGAUCUCUUGGUUCUGGCAUCGAUGAAGAACGCAGCGAAAUGCGAUAAGUAAUGUGAAUUGCAGAAUUCAGUGAAUCAUCGAAUCUUUGAACGCACAUUGCGCCCUCUGGUAUUCCGGAGGGCAUGCCUGUUCGAGCGUCAUAAUGACCAAAUCACCCCUGUGGUGGACUUGGAGGUGGCCAAUUCUGGCCUCUCUUAAAACCAGUGGCGGUGCUCUUAAGCUCUACGCGUAGUAAUUUUUCUCGCUAUAGGGUCUUGAUUGUGCUUGCCAACAACCCCAAUUUUUUAAGG